rnacentral:rRNA from 1 species
GAUGAACGCUGGCGGCGUGCCUAACACAUGCAAGUCGAGCGGACCUAUCUUGAUGAAUUUUACAGAUGGAAUCAGGAUUGAAUUAGCGACUGACGGGUGAAUAACACGUGGAUAACCUGCCUAAUACUGGGGGAUAACAGCCAUAAAUGGCUGCUAAUACCGCAUAACCGCUCAGAGCCUCAUGGCACACUGUGAAAAACUCCUGUGGUAUAAUAUGGAUCCCCCCCUGAAUAACUUGUUGGGGGGGCAGCAGCCCACCAAGGCGGCCAUCAGUAACCCGGCUGAAAAGGCUACAGGGCACAUUGGGACUGAAACACCGCCCAAACUCCUACCGGAAGGAACAGUGGGGAAUAUUGCACAAUGGGGGGAACCCUGAUGCAACCACCCCCCCUGAAUGAAAAAAUAUUUCCGUAUGUAAAGCUCUAUCAACAAGGAAAAAAAUGACCGUACCUGAAUAAAAAGCCCCCGGUAACUACCUGCCAACCGCCCCGGUAAUACCUAAGGGGCAAGCGUUAUCCCGAUUUACUGGGUGUAGGGAGCGUGACGGCAGGGCAAGUCUGGAGUGAAAGCCCGGGGCCCAACCCCGGGACUGCUUUGGAAACUGCCCUGCUGGAGUGCUGGAGAGGUAAGCGGAAUUCCUAGUGUAGCGGUGAAAUGCGUAGAUAUUAGGAGGAACACCAGUGGCGAAGGCGGCUUACUGGACUGUAACUGACGUUGAGGCUCGAAAGCGUGGGGAGCAAACAGGAUUAGAUACCCUGGUAGUCCACGCCGUAAACGAUGAAUGCUAGGUGUCGGUGGACAACGCCCAUCCGUGCCGCCGCAAACGCAGUAAGCAUUCCACCUGGGGAGUACCUUCCCCAGAAUGAAACUCCAAGGAAUUGACCGGGACCCGCACAAGCGGUGGAACAUGUGGUUUAAUUGGAAGCAACGGGAAGACCCUUACCAAGUCUUGACAUCCCAAUGAAUGCCUGGCAAAGCAGGCAGUCCUCCUCGGACAUUGGAGACAGGUGGUGCAUGGUUGUCGUCAGCUCGUGUCGUGAGAUGUUGGGUUAAGUCCCGCAACGAGCGCAACCCUUAUCCCCAGUAGCCAGCAGGUAGAGGUGGGCACUCUGUGGAGACUGCCAGGGACAACCUGGAGGAAGGUGGGGAUGACGUCAAAUCAUCAUGCCCCUUAUGAUUUGGGCUACACACGUGCUACAAUGGCGUGAACAGAGGGAGGCGAAGGGGCGACGUGGAGCAAACCCCAAAAAUAACGUCCCAGUUCGGAUUGUGGUCUGCAACCCGGCCGCAUGAAGCUGGAAUCGCUAGUAAUCGCGGAUCAGAAUGCCGCGGUGAAUACGUUCCCGGGUCU